CCCUGACGCUGUCAUGUAAUAUUGAUUGCAGGCUUUUCUGAAACUCUACUCACUGUGAUGCUGAAAAUAAAGCUGCUAUAUAACCACACCUGCUGUCAUGUCUGAAGUCUUCAUCCACAGUUUUUGGCGCCCAAACGUGGGGCAGGAGACGGGCAGCCGACUCCUCGAGCAGGAUCGUCCAGAAGGACCGUAGUGGACCGAUUCCGGCCGGAUUGGACCAGCUCCGGUAACAGUUAGGACUGGCCUGCCUUGGGCGUUUCCUGCGUGGGGAGUCCCUGACCUCCUCCUAGCCGAUACGAGGCACGACUUGACGGGAAUUUCCAGGCAGGUGGACGGAGUCACAUCUUACAGGUCUCCGAGCUUCUCUGAAGGAAGUCCAUGAGCAGGUUAAUCAGGCCUGGAGAACUAAUCCUCUAUCAAAGGACUCCCAGAUUCCGUUAGGAACCUGGAUUCUGGCUAGAGACACUCGAAGGAAACAUUGGCAUCACCCUUGGUGGAGUGGACUGUUCCAAAUUCUGCUGUUGACACCACACGCUGUUAAAGUUGAGGGACUGCCUGCCUGGAUUCACGUCUCACAUUGCAAAAGACUGCCCUGGUCACCUUGACUUUGAUUUUCGGAAACACCACAUCAGUUCAGGUUGAUUUCUGUUCUGUUAUUGACUGUGGGACUGGUCGACAAGUCCAGUGGACCUGGUCUGACAAAUAUGUGUGUGUAACUGUUACAAACUCUGGAUUCGGAAGUAACUGUGAUGAGUGGGAAUGGGAUUUUGCUAAUACUGGAACUGAUGACUGGGGUAUUUAACUGCUGCACCUAUAUCCCUAAUAAUACAGCUCCUGAUGGAUCAAUCACCCAUGCUUUGGCAGAUUUGGCCACUCUCUCUAAUGAACUAGCUAUUGAUUCUGGCAUUUCUAAUCCUUGAGAUCAAUGGUUUAUGUCCACUUUUGGGUCCUGGGGCCAAUGGCUUAAGUCAGUUUUCAUUUCUCUUACAGUUGCUUUUAUCGUUCUCCUGCUUGUAGCUUGCUGUAUUGUUCCCUUGAUAAGAUACAUUGUAUCCAAGUAUUUUACUGCCUCUAUGGCAAAGGCUUACUUUUUACACGAAGAAAAAAUGUUUCAGAUCAGCACAGCCACCCCACACUCCUUCACCCACUCCACUCCUUCCCCCUCUCCUACCCUGUCCCGCUCAACUCUCCCCUAAUCAAGUAUUUUUUUUGUUUGCUCAAAAGGGGGGAAUGUGGAAGAUGAAUGUUCUCUUCGUUCCCUUGUACUAAUCCAUGUCUGAGAAGUCAGCUUUAUGAAACCAUUCAGCAUGCUUUGCUGAGCAAACAGAAAAAAAAAAACAUUUUCUAAUGACUCAAGGUCUAAGCAUUCCACACAUGAGUCUGCCUUAUCACGUUUUCCCUUAGCUUACAUUUGAACGACAUAACAAAGGAGCCAAGAAAUCACAUCGCACAGGGGCAUUUUAGAACUCAAGGAUUUUGUAAAAUAAAAUUGUCGACUGUUGCAUCUCAUAAUGAUAUUAAAUCACGCAUUCUAGGGGUAUAAAAACUUUGCCCCACCCAAGAGACGAGGUUCAGAAGAGCCCUGACGCUGUCAUGUAAUAUUGAUUGCCGGCUUUUCAGAAACUCUACUCACUGUGAUGCUGCAAAAUAAAGCUGCUAUAUAACCACA